rnacentral:lncRNA from 1 species
UAAGAAGAGUAUAAUCUGACUAGACAUCAAGGUUAAGCUUCGAGUGUUGCUAGUUGAACUGGGCAAGGCAAACAAAAGCAUAUUGUGGAGCUAGGUAAUAGGGCUGGCUUCAUUCCUAAAUGCAACUUUUAGAACACUUAUUAAAUUAGGAUUUAUUUAGUUUCCUGAAAAAGAUUUAUAUCAGGAUUCUAAAUUUAAAAUUUUCAUAUAAAACAAAGAUUUUAAUGUUGAUGGAAGUCAAAAUGAACUUUAGGUUACCACCUGGGCAUUUUACACUGUUUUUGACAAAAGUUUUUCAAAAUGUAUGCCAUCUUUCAAACAUUUAUUAGAAAUACAUUAUGCAACAAUAACUCCAUGGGUACUUAAUUAUUGAAUUCAAAUUAGUACGUACUUUUUCUCUUUCAUUAGAUCUAUUUUGUGUUAAUUUAAUAUUUGAUAUUUUAAAAUCUAUAUGUCCAAAUGGAUUGACAGGAAAUAUUCCAAAUGAAAUUGGAAACCUAUCAACAAUUGAACAUCUAGAUUUGGGGUUCAACAGUUUGAGUGGUACGUAAAUACAUCUCCUAAACUUAUGUUAUAUAUAUUAAAUCAGGUAAUUUAAAAUUGUAAAGCUUGAGAAGAUGUCAAGGGUAAACUUCUAGCUUUUAUGAGCCUAAAUGGCCAGAAUAUAAAAGCUUAAAGUGUGGCUCGGUGGCAAGGCUCAACGUUGUGCUUUGACGCAAUUUUUAGAACACUAAUUAAAUCAAUUAAAUUUGUUUAUUUAGUGUCUGGACAAAGAUAUAAACCAAAACUUAAAAGUUUAAAAUUGUCAUGUAUAACAAAGAUUUGUAUGCCAGUGAAAAAUCUAAAUGAACUUUAGGUUUCCACCUAUGCAUUUUACACUCUUUUGGCAAAUACUUUUCAAAAUGUGUGGUAUUUUCCAAAUAAUUAUUAGAAACACAGCAUAAUCACAUAAAAUCCUAAUUACCCAAUAUGAUUAUACUUUCUAAACUUUUCAAUAUUAAUCUAAUUUAGUUUAUUUUUAAUUUUCAUUUCUUAGUUUU